UACGUAGGGUGCAAGCGUUAAUCGGAAUUACUGGGCGUAAAGCGUGCGCAGGCGGUUUGUAAGUUUGUCGUGAAAGCCCCGGGCUCAACCUGGGAAUUGCGAUGAAGACUGCAAGGCUUGAAUCUGGCAGAGGGGGGUAGAAUUCCACGUGUAGCAGUGAAAUGCGUAGAGAUGUGGAGGAACACCGAUGGCGAAGGCAGCCCCUGGGUCAAGACUGACGCUCAUGCACGAAAGCGUGGGAGCAAACAGG
rnacentral:rRNA from 1 species